rnacentral:rRNA from 1 species
GACGAACGCUGGCGGCGUGCUUAACACAUGCAAGUCGAACGGAAAGGCCCUGCUUUUGUGGGGUGCUCGAGUGGCGAACGGGUGAGUAACACGUGAGUAACCUGCCCUUGACUUGGGGAUAACUUCAGGAAACUGGGGCUAAUACCGGAUAGGAGCUCCUGCUGCAUGGUGGGGGUUGGAAAGUUUCGGCGGUUGGGGAUGGACUCGCGGCUUAUCAGCUUGUUGGUGGGGUAGUGGCUUACCAAGGCUUUGACGGGUAGCCGGCCUGAGAGGGUGACCGGCAACAUUGGGACUGAGAUACGGCCCAGACUCCUACGGGAGGCAGCAGUGGGGAAUAUUGCACAAUGGGCGGAAGCCUGAUGCAGCAACGCCGCGUGCGGGAUGAAGGCCUUCGGGUUGUAAACCGCUUUCGCCUGUGACGAAGCGUGAGUGACGGUAAUGGGUAAAGAAGCACCGGCUAACUACGUG